CCUACGGGGGGCAGCAGUGGGGAAUAUUGGACAAUGGGGGGAACCCUGAUCCAGCCAUGCCGCGUGUGUGAAGAAGGCCCUCGGGUUGUAAAGCACUUUCAGUGAGGAAGAACGCCUGGUGGUUAAUACCCAUCAGGAAAGACAUCACUCACAGAAGAAGCACCGGCUAACUCCGUGCCAGCAGCCGCGGUAAUACGGAGGGUGCGAGCGUUAAUCGGAAUUACUGGGCGUAAAGCGCGCGUAGGUGGCUUGAUAAGCCGGUUGUGAAAGCCCCGGGCUCAACCUGGGAACGGCAUCCGGAACUGUCAAGCUAGAGUGCAGGAGAGGAAGGUAGAAUUCCCGGUGUAGCGGUGAAAUGCGUAGAGAUCGGGAGGAAUACCAGUGGCGAAGGCGGCCUUCUGGACUGACACUGACACGGAGGUGCGAAAGCGUGGGUAGCAAACAGGAUUAGAUACCCUAGUAGUC
rnacentral:rRNA from 1 species